rnacentral:rRNA from 1 species
UACGUAGGGUGCAAGCGUUAAUCGGAAUUACUGGGCGUAAAGCGUGCGCAGGCGGCUUUGCAAGACAGAUGUGAAAUCCCCGGGCUCAACCUGGGAACUGCAUUUGUGACUGCAUGGCUGGAGUGCGGCAGAGGGGGAUGGAAUUCCGCGUGUAGCAGUGAAAUGCGUAGAUAUGCGGAGGAACACCGAUGGCGAAGGCAAUCCCCUGGGCCUGCACUGACGCUCAUGCACGAAAGUGCGUAGGGAGAACAG